CCCCCGGCGCGCCCCUCACGGUGUCCAGCGCGUACGCGGCUUGUGGAGCACCAGGCUGAGGUCGGUGACCUGACCUCGGGCCCAGCUUGUUUUCUUUCCUGCCUGUGGCUUUUGCCUAGCGCAGAUUUGGCGCCAAGCACUGUUUCUUCAUUCAACAAACAUGCAUUGAGCAACAAUCAUACGCCAGAAAAUAAAACUAGGUUGAGCAUAAGUAAAUGGAUUCCCAGGGAUAUCCCACACCAAGGAAGCAGAGAUGCCCUGGGGCAAAACAAAAAGCAAGAGGUACUCUGUGCAGCCAGCAGGAGGGACUAUCAGGUCACCCGUGCACAAGGCCAGUUGCUGCCGCAAUGACUAAAGUAAAAGAUGAAUCAAGAGGAUGUGAUGUUGGGCAUAAGAAGUGUCUAAUACAACUCUAGAAGCCAGAAGUCCAAAAUCCAUUUCACAGAGCUGAGAUUGAGGAGUGAGCGGGGCCACGCUUCCUCCAGAGGCUCUAGAGAUGGGAAAGCGGAGGCUCAGAGAGGUGAAAAAUAUGCCCAAACCUAGGUCUCUCUGGCUUGGAGUGUCCAACCACUCUGCUACAACUUCAAUUCAAGAGCUCCGUUGUUCACCAAGCUGACUCCUGGCAUCGAAUCUGGCCCUGGCAUCAAUACAUGGCUUCGGGAAACACAGCUGUUUGGAGGAGGCAACACUGUUCACUCAUUUGCCACUUCACCAAGCCAUACGAAUUAAAACACCAUAAGUGUUAGGAGAGCAUUAUGUUGUUACUCUCCCAAAGAAUUUGCUUCUUCCGGACGAUACUUAACAGUGACAGAAUCGCCAAUUCACAAUAGGAGAACCAUGCCCUCCAACAUUCUUCAAAGCACGCUGUUUAGCAACUACGUGAUCGACUUUAAAAUAUUAACAGUAGCCGACAUUUAUUAAAUGCUAAAGACGUGCUGGACACUG